GUACGGCGAGUGAAGCGGCAAGAGCUCAAAUUUGAAAUCUGGCCCCGUCGGGGUCCGAGUUGUAAUUUGCAGAGGAUGCUUCGGGUGCGGCCCCCGUCUAAGUGCCCUGGAACGGGCCGCCGGAGAGGGUGAGAGUCCCGUCUGGGACGGGUGGCCGCGUCCGUGUGAAGCUCCUUCGACGAGUCGAGUUGUUUGGGAAUGCAGCUCUAAAUGGGUGGUAAAUUUCAUCUAAAGCUAAAUAUUGGCCGGAGACCGAUAGCGCACAAGUAGAGUGAUCGAAAGAUGAAAAGCACUUUGAAAAGAGAGUUAAAUAGCACGUGAAAUUGUUGAAAGGGAAGCGCUUGCGACCAGACUCGCCCGCGGGGGUUCAGCCGGCACUCGUGCCGGUGCACUCCCCCGCGGGCGGGCCAGCGUCGGUUUGGGGCGGUCGGUCAAAGGCCCCGGGAAUGUGCCGCCCCCUCGGGGCGUCUUAUAGCCGGGGGGUGCAAUGCGGCCAGCCCGGGACCGAGGACCGCGCUUCGGCAUGGACGCUGGCGUAAUGGUCGUAAGC
rnacentral:misc_RNA from 1 species